GGGCCCCGGGCGCGGGUUGGGCCUUUUUGGCGUCUUUUCAGUAACCGCCGGGAGAACCUUCAAGGAUGUGUCGCUUGGUCGGCUGCUGCCCCCGCCUCAACGGGAUCUUCUUGAAGCAAAAAUCGGGGCCUGCUCCCGGGGUCCUAUUCCCUCUCAGAAUGCCUCUCAGAUUUUCCAGUCCCUGCCAUUCAGAGAUCUGUGACCCGAGAUUUCUGUGCGCAGGUGAUCAGAAGCCACCUGUAGCGAGGGCGACCUUGUCCCAGCGCACAGGCAGCGUUAGGCAGUUCAGCACGAGCUCAGCACACAUUCAGUCUCAUUCCUGAGUCUCCUAUGUGUCCAGCUCUGGGCAAUAUGAAGCUCAUAACCGGGAUGAGGAGCCAGACAAUACACAGACUAACAAGACUCCAGGGACUGAGAUGGAAUUUCACAUGUUCUGCUGUGAGAAAAUCACUUUGUGUCCUUGCCAUCAAGGACGUCUUUUUUGGAAGUCUCCAUUUGCCAGAAAAAAGGCCGUGUGAGGACACAGCAGGG